CUACGGGCCGCUGCAGUAAGGAAUAUUGCGCAAUGGAGGCAACUCUGACGCAGCCACGCCGCGUGCAGGAAGAAGGCCUUAUGGGUCGUAAACUGCUUUUAUUUAGGAAUAAACCCCCGAACGUGUUCGGGGCUGAAGGUACUAAACGAAUAAGCACCGGCUAACUCCGUGCCAGCAGCCGCGGUAAUACGGAGGGUGCAAGCGUUAUCCGGAUUUAUUGGGGUUAAGGGGUGCGCAGGCGGGCUAUUAAGUCAGUGGUGAAAUCCCGGGGCUCAACUCCGGAACUGCCAUUGAUACUGAUAGUCUUGAGUUUGGUUGAAGUGGGCGGAAUGUAGCAUGUAGCGGUGAAAUGCAUAGAUAUGCUACAGAACACCAAUCGCGAAGGCAGCUCACUAAGCCAAAACUGACGCUCAUGCACGAAAGCGUGGGGAUCAAACAGGAUUAGAUACCCUAGUAGUC
rnacentral:rRNA from 1 species